UAUAGAAGGUUUACGCUGAGAAAUCUUUGCGAUUAUAUCGAGCCACCUGGAGAAUGCAGGAGAAUUUCCCAUCUCAGGAUCCUUACCUUAAUCACACCUGCAGAAUGCCUCCCUUUUGCCGUGUGCUGUGGUUUCAACGCCUGUGUCCCCCACGAUGUCCAACGUGAUGGUGUUAGGAGGUGGGGCCUUUGGGAGGUGCUUAAGUCAUGAAGGUGGAGCCCUCAUGAAUGGAUUAAUGUUCUUAUAAAAGAGACUCCGGAAGACCCCUCACCCCUCUGCCAUGCGAGGAUGUACCGAAAAGUCACAGGUCUUUGACCCAGAAGAAGCCCCUCACGUGACCUUGCUGGCAACCUGAUCCUGGACUUCCAGCCUCCAGAGCUGUGAGCAAUAAGCUUUUGCUGUGUAUAAGCCGCGCAGACUACGGUAUUCUGUUACAGCAGCUAGAAUGGACGAAGACAAUAGUUGGCAGGACAUCAGAGACACCCACCAGAGGACAACUGGAG